rnacentral:lncRNA from 1 species
CGUCGCCGCCAGCGGCGGCAGAGGAACGUAGGGGCAAUGAUUUGACGGCUCUGAUGACGGCCUUGGACGCCUUGCAGAAGAGUUUGGAACUGGAUUUGGAAUGGCGGGUGGGUUUCGCUUUCAAUUUCGAUUUCCGGUCGACUGAGGGGAGCAUUAAUCGUGGGGUGGUGGGGCAGCAUUGGCGGCGGCGGGGGAAGGAUUUGAAGGGAAGAGUUUGGAGCUGGAUUUGGAAUGGCGGGCGGGUUUCGAUUUCAAUUUCAAUUUCGAUUUCCGGUCGACUGGGGGGAGCAUUAAUCGUGGGGUGGAAGGGCAGCAUUGGCGGCGGCGGGGGAAGGAUUUGAAGCCGUUGGAUGAGCAGGAGCUGAAAUCUUC